AAAGGUGUGGCCUAAUCUCAUCCAUACUCAUGUCAAUUUUUCAAUCAACUAGCCUUAGGAUUAUGAGAUAUCAUAGGCAAAGUGGAAUUUAUGAAUGAAGAAAGAGAAUAAGAUGAAGUGGGAGGGGAAUGGAUCAAAACACAAAUUGGUCAAAGGAGGACUUUUACCAACUUAAUAUCAUCCAUUCAUUUUGGGAGAUGGAAUGUACAUUCCAUCAAUCCCCUCAAUCC
rnacentral:lncRNA from 1 species